UACGAAGGGGGCUAGCGUUGUUCGGAAUCACUGGGCGUAAAGCGCACGUAGGCGGAUGUGCCAGUCAGGGGUGAAAUCCCGGAGCUCAACUCCGGAACUGCCUCUGAUACAGCACGUCUUGAGUUCGAGAGAGGUGGGUGGAAUUCCUAGUGUAGAGGUGAAAUUCGUAGAUAUUAGGAAGAACACCGGUGGCGAAGGCGGCCCACUGGCUCGAUACUGACGCUGAGGUGCGAAAGCGUGGGAGCAAACAGGG
rnacentral:rRNA from 1 species